rnacentral:rRNA from 1 species
CACGUAGGGGGCGAGCGUUGUCCGGAAUCAUUGGGCGUAAAGAGCUCGUAGGCGGCUCGGUAAGUCGGGUGUGAAACCCCCAGGCUCAACCUGGGGACGCCACCCGAUACUGCUGUGGCUAGAGUCCAGUAGGGGAGUGUGGAAUUCCCGGUGUAGCGGUGAAAUGCGCAGAUAUCGGGAGGAACACCAGCGGCGAAGGCGGCACUCUGGGCUGGAACUGACGCUGAGGAGCGAAAGCGUGGAUAGCAAACAGG